AUGGGUGUUAUGGGGCAAAAUAUUUUACAUUGUAUUGUAUGGAAAAACACCAAGGAAUCUGAACAUUUGACACAAAUUCCAAAACCUCACCUAAGUACAUCCUUAAACUUAUCACACAGGUCAAAUUAUUGGAUAUUUUGAUAAGUCAGGAUCAAUGUUAUUAAGGUCCGGUCAUUUCAGCAUAUUUAAUGCCACAAAACCAUGAUAUGCAGUUUUAUGAAGAACAGAGCAGAGUGAAACAAAUAAUGAUUAAAUAUCUAACUAUGGCUAAAAAAGAAAAUACAAACAAUAGUACACAAAACACUGCAUAGAAAACUAACGACUAAGCAACAUGAACCCCACUAAAACUGGGGGUGAUCUCAGAUGCUCCAAAAGGGUAAGCAGAUCCUGCUCCACCUGUGGCAACCGUCAUGUUGCUCAUAUUUAGUGCAAACUAAUACACAAUGCUUAUUA
rnacentral:lncRNA from 1 species